rnacentral:rRNA from 1 species
GCCAGGUUACAAAUCUGGCUGUCGAGAUGACCUAAAAAGCAUUUCAUAGCAAGGGCCGGGCAAGACCGGUGCCAGCCGCCGCGGUAACACCGGCGGCUCGAGUGGUAACCGUUAUUAUUGGGUCUAAAGGGUCUGUAGCCGGCCGGAUAAGUCUCUUGAGAAAUCUGGCAGCUUAACUGUCAGGCUUUCAGGAGAUACUGUCUGGCUCGAGGCCGGGAGAGGUGAGAGGUACUUCAGGGGUAGGGGUGAAAUCUUGUAAUCCUUGAAGGACCACCAGUGGCGAAGGCGUCUCACCAGAACGGACCUGACGGCAAGGGACGAAAGCUAGGGGCACGAACCGGAUUAGAUACCCGGGUAGUCCUAGCCGUAAACGAUACUCGCUAGGUGUCGGCCACGGUGCGACCGUUGUCGGUGCCGUAGGGAAGCCGUGAAGCGAGCCACCUGGGAAGUACGGCCGCAAGGCUGAAACUUAAAGGAAUUGGCGGG